CUGCGAUAUCUGAAUGCAAAUGCGCAGUUAAUAAAAUAUUAGGAACAAAAAUUCAAGGCCAAAAAGCAAACAAACAAGUCCAAACAAAGCCAUGGCAAGUCACCACUGCGAAAUAUUUAACCCUUCGAAAAUAUUCACUUUAGAAAGAAAAAAAAAAAAACGGUUUUAAAAAAAUACAGGUAAAUCUUGAAGUUGAUACAAAUGUAGUAA
rnacentral:lncRNA from 1 species